GUCUAGAUAGUUUAAUGGUAAAACUAAUGCCUCAUAUGCAUUCAAUAUAGGUUCAAUUCCUUUUUUAGACA